AACGCGAAGAACCUUACCUACCCUUGACAUCCAGAAGAUUCUGCAGAGAUGCAGGAGUGCCGAAAGGAAUUCUGAGACAGGUGCUGCAUGGCUGUCGUCAGCUCGUGUUGUGAGAUGUUGGGUUAAGUCCCGUAACGAGCGCAACCCUUAUGCUUAGUUGCCAACACGUAAAGGUGGGGACUCUAAGGAGACUGCCGGUGAUGAACCGGAGGAAGGCGGGGACGACGUCAAGUCAUCAUGGCCUUUAUGGGUAGGGCUACACACGUGCUACAAUGGUCAGUACAGAGGGCAGCGAAAGCGCGAGCUCGAGCCAAUCCCGCAAAGCUGAUCGUAGUCCGGAUCGGAGUCUGCAACUCGACUCCGUGAAGUCGGAAUCGCUAGUAAUCGCGAAUCAGAAUGUCGCGGUGAAUACGUUCCCGGGCCUUGUACACACCGCGUGUCU
rnacentral:rRNA from 1 species